rnacentral:rRNA from 1 species
UACAGAGGGGGCAAGCGUUGUUCGGAAUUACUGGGCGUAAAGGGCGCGUAGGCGGCCUGUUAAGUCGAACGUGAAAUCCCCGGGCUCAACCCGGGAACUGCGUCCGAUACUGGCAGGCUUGAGUGUGGCAGAGGGGGGUGGAAUUUACGGUGUAGCAGUGAAAUGCGUAGAUAUCGUAAGGAAGACCAGCGGCGAAGGCGAGUCUCUGGACAGUUACUGACGCUGAGGCACGAAGGCCAGGGGAGCAAGCGGG